AGCGUAGGCGGUCUUUUAAGUGGGAUGUGAAAUCCCUGGGCUUAACCCAGGAAUUGCAUUCCAUACUGGGAGACUAGAGUGCAGGAGAGGAAAGUGGAAUUCCAAGUGUAGCGGUGAAAUGCGUAGAGAUUUGGAGGAACACCAGUGGCGAAGGCGACUUUCUGGACUGUAACUGACGCUGAGGCUCGAGAGCGUGGGGAGCAAACAGGAUUAGAUACCCUGGUAGUCCACGCUGUAAACGAUGAAUACUAGGUGUUGGGGGCGAAGCCCUCAGUGCCGCAGUUAACACAUUAAGUAUUCCGCCUGGGGAGUACGAUCGCAAGAUUAAA
rnacentral:rRNA from 1 species